rnacentral:rRNA from 1 species
AUCUACAGCCAUGCCACCCUGAACAAGCCCAAUGUCUGAUCUUGGAAGCUAAGCAUUGUCGGAUCUGGUUAGUACUUGGAUGGGAGACCACCUAGGAAGACCAGGUGCUGUAGGUG